ACCUUCUGUUAUGCUCAGCGGUGCUGCCUGCGCUACUCAGGCCAUUUUUAAGGCCGGUCGCCAUGUCUCUCCAGUUAUCGACCAUAUGCUAGGCUCUUCAGCGCCUGAAAAACAACACAGGCAGGCCGCUUUCUCUCUACGGAAUGUUUGUUUUCAAAAACUAUGGACCUGUUAUUCAAUAAAGUAGUUCCAAUGAGCAUGAGGAAACAAACGGAUUCUCUCAGAGCUCAAUCAGAGUGGAAUGGACUAGGAUUCAUCACGAGGGCUUGACAGGAUCAAAGGCGAUGAGACUUUCUGCAGCAGUUUUAAUGGCAUUGGUCUUCGUUAGUGUGGCGUUCAGCCUGUCAGGUGGAGAGCAGAUCAACGACGAAGCAGCAACAUCCACACAGCUUCCCUUUCAGACCUCUCAAUAACAAAUGUGUUAUCCACUAUCCCUCCUGUCUGGGAAAUAUCUGCAUUCGUUUUGUACACCUUUUGAUUUCAAAUAUCCCCUUGAGGUAAAGCAUAGCAAAUAUGUGUUCUCAGGGAAGGCCUUGGGGAAUUAUAGGGGUUCAUGCACUAUUGAUGCACGUAGAGGUUUGCUCACAUGCCAUCUCCUGCAUUUAAUGAGAGUUCCUUGGAGAGGGGGUUAUUGCUGCCACCAUAUAAAUCAUCCAUAUUGCUUCCUUAUUGUACUACGGAGAAAAGAAACAUCCUCAUUAUCCUCUAUGGCUUAGCCUUAGGAGGAGAGAGAAGGUGAUGUCUCCCAUAAAAUAAUCUAUAAAUACCACAAGACUAUUAACUUUUAUACGGAAGAAUCCAAGUUGCUGAGAAAAGUGUGUGUGGGGGGGGGUACCAUAGCCAUAUGUUACAUAUUUAUUAAAAUGGUUACAUUUCCCUGCAGUGCAUUGGUCACCAGUUUUAUUGUGCACCCUAGUGUGUUACGGUGGUUCAUUUAGAGAACUACAUACAAUUAUGCAACCAUGUAAAUGCUAAGAUGGAUCUGUUUUCUUCUAAAGUAAAAGAGAGUGAACAUUGAAUAUCAAUCCACAUACUUUCAAUUUCCUGUUUUGAGAAAAGGUUCUGGCUCCAGUUUCUGUAUAAUUGCUGUUAGAAACAAACCAACACUGAACAAGCUGGCUAAUCAUUGCCUGCAACAAAUAUCUAAAUAUACCUGGCCUGUCAUCUGAACUACGUUCUUGUGAAUGUGCAGAGAGAAAGAUGAGUUGCAACUAAUUUGGUGUAAGGACUGCAGAAACCGUUAGUUCAGUCCUCAACAGAUGCUCCUCUGAUCAGCUACAGUAGAUGUAAAUUGGAACUGAGUUACACUCACCUUUUCAAGCUGAAACAUCUGGUUUGUAAGUGGGAACCUCCCAAAUGCUAUAAUCAUUGGGGAUGGUACGCCUCUGGAGUGACCUACUGUGUGGUGAAUUCUGACAUUACGUAAUCUACUGUACAGUAGGUUGUAUGAAAGGCCAACACCACAUAAGUGAAAUAUUGCAGGGCAUGAUAAAGUUGCUUAUAGGACAACAGACAAUCAGCAGAAUAAACUGCAAGUGUCUAAAAAAGAAUUCCUAGCUCAGUUGAAGCUUAAACUUCGGAUAGAGAAUAGGUAAGAGUUCAGGUAAUUUUGUCACACCUUGAUCAGUUUCACCUGUCCUUGUUAUUGUCUCCACCCCCUCCAGGUGUCACUUGUUAUCCCUGGUGUAUAUAUCCCUGUGUUUCCUGUCUCUCUGUGCCAGUU